rnacentral:rRNA from 1 species
GUUGGAAACGGCUGCUAAUACCGCAUAAGCGCACGGCAUCGCAUGAUGCAGUGUGAAAAACUCCGGUGGUAUAAGAUGGACCCGCGUUGGAUUAGCUAGUUGGUGAGGUAACGGCUCACCAAGGCGACGAUCCAUAGCCGACCUGAGAGGGUGACCGGCCACAUUGGGACUGAGACACGGCCCAAACUCCUACGGGAGGCAGCAGUGGGGAAUAUUGCACAAUGGGCGAAAGCCUGAUGCAGCGACGCCGCGUGAGCGAAGAAGUAUUUCGGUAUGUAAAGCUCUAUCAGCAGGGAAGAUAAUGACGGUACCUGACUAAGAAGCACCGGCUAAAUACGUGCCAGCAGCCGCGGUAAUACGUAUGGUGCAAGCGUUAUCCGGAUUUACUGGGUGUAAAGGGAGCGCAGGCGGUGCGGCAAGUCUGAUGUGAAAGCCCGGGGCUCAACCCCGGUACUGCAUUGGAAACUGUCGUACUAGAGUGUCGGAGGGGUAAGCGGAAUUCCUAGUGUAGCGGUGAAAUGCGUAGAUAUUAGGAGGAACACCAGUGGCGAAGGCGGCUUACUGGACGAUAACUGACGCUGAGGCUCGAAAGCGUGGGGAGCAAACAGGAUUAGAUACCCUGGU